UUGCUUGACGCGAUAAAGGUUUAUUUCCUGCUCUUGCAAAGCCUGAAGCACUUGUUGGGGAAGGAAGGGUGUGUGUGUAGUGAGGAGCGGAAUUCUACUAUCAGCAGUGACUCAGGUUUCCUUGAGUACAUUUCCUUUGUGGGGUCAAAAUAUUCUGAGGCCUCCCUGGAGUUCUCUGCUGGAUGCUUUGCAUUCAGCAGGCUGGUGAGUAAUGAAAAAGUGUGGAGGAUUACACGGCAUUUGGUGACUAGGCCUGAAAGUGUCAUCCUUCACUUCUGUCCACAGCCCAUUGACCAGUCCAAGAAACACGGUUCCAACCCAACUGCAAGGGCAAAAAAGGGAUUGGGGGCCUCUCGCCAGUCUCAGCCAUGCUGCUCAAACUUCUUCGUGGAGGCGAGGAAACAACAUGGCUCGGAUGGAUGUGCUGGAGGAAAUGCACCAGGAAAUCCCGAGCAGGGUGCAAUCAGUCAGCAUUAAUGCCCACAAGUAUCAAAGCUACUUGAAGAAAUACAGCUACUUAUGGAUGGGCGAUAAAAUUGAAUUCAUGAAGCAGCUCCUUCUCCAUGGGCAAUUUCUUGGUGCUGAAGAACUAGAAUUGCAUGCAGACUAAGAGUGUCAGAACUCCACACUGCUGUCAGCACACUUUGAAGAACCGGCAUUGAAUUUUAGCCGAGUCUAGCAUUAUCUUUUUCAAUUCCGAGGACAGCUAUUAAAUCAUAAAAUAUUUUGUGAUAUAAAGCUCUUGCUUCUGAGAGAUCUUUCCUUUCUUCCCUUUAAGAUCAACAUCUAUGAAAUAUUAUGUGAAUGAGUUGACAGCUUUAAAAAUCAGAGGAUAUUUAGUGGCUAGCUUCAAGUUGAUAGUAAACCUUUUAAAAACCAAUGAUGAAUGUUAUAAAAAAUUGGGUUUGAUGUUUAAGAAGCAUCUGCUUAACCAUGUAACCUGCAGGGAAAGUAAUUUGAAUCUGGUUGAUUGUGAAAGGAAAUUAAAAUAACACAAAUCAUUUGAUGAAACCAUCCUCAUAGAAUUCUAAUUUA
rnacentral:lncRNA from 1 species